rnacentral:rRNA from 1 species
ACGGAAGGCAGCAGUAGGGAAUCUUCGGCAAUGGGGGCAACCCUGACCGAGCAACGCCGCGUGAGUGAAGAAGGUUUUCGGAUCGUAAAGCUCUGUUGUAAGAGAAGAACGUGUGUGAGAGUGGAAAGUUCACACAGUGACGGUAACUUACCAGAAAGGGACGGCUAACUACGUGCCAGCAGCCGCGGUAAUACGUAGGUCCCGAGCGUUGUCCGGAUUUAUUGGGCGUAAAGCGAGCGCAGGCGGUUUACUAAGUCUAUAGUUAAAGGCAGUGGCUUAACCAUUGUUCGCUUUGGAAACUGUUAGACUUGAGUGCAGAAGGGGAGAGUGGAAUUCCAUGUGUAGCGGUGAAAUGCGUAGAUAUAUGGAGGAACACCGGUGGCGAAAGCGGCUCUCUGGUCUGUAACUGACGCUGAGGCUCGAAAGCGUGGGGCGCAAACAGGAUUAGAUACCCUGGUA